CGCGCGUUCCCAUUUUGUUGGUUUCUGAGAUCGCCGUAAUGAUUAAUAGGGAUAGUUGGGGGCAUUUGUAUUCCGUCGUCAGAGGUGAAAUUCUUGGAUUGCCGGAAGACAAACUACUGCGAAAGCAUUUGCCAAGGAUGUUUUCAUUGAUCAAGAACGAAGGAAGGGGGAUCGAAAACGAUUAGAUACCGUUGUAGUCUCUUCUAUAAACUAUGCCAAUUGGGGAUCGGUACAGGAUUUUUAAUGACUGUAUCGGCACCCGAAGAGAAAUCUUUAAAUGAGGUUCGGGGGGGAGUAUGGUCGCAAGGCUGAAACUUAAAGGAAUUGACGGAAGGGCACCACCAGGUGUGGAGCCUGCGGCUUAAUUUGACUCAACACGGGGAAACUCACCAGGUCCAGACACAAUAAGGAUUGACAGAUUGAUAGCUCUUUCUUGAUCUUGUGGUUGGUGGUGCAUGGCCGUUCUUAGUUGGUGGAGUGAUUUGUCUGGUUAAUUCCGAUAACGAACGAGACCUUAACCUGCUAAAUAGACCAGCCGGCUUUGGCUAGCUGCUGUCUUCUUAGAGGGACUAUCAGCGUUUAGCUGAUGGAAGUUUGAGGCAAUAACAGGUCUGUGAUGCCCUUAGAUGUUCUGGGCCGCACGCGCGCUACACUGACAGAGCCAGCGAGUCUACCACCUUUGCCGGAAGGCAUGGGUAAUCUUGUGAACUCUGUCGUGA
rnacentral:rRNA from 1 species